GACGAACGCUGGCGGCGUGCCUAAUACAUGCAAGUUGAGCGCUGAAGGUUGGUACUUGUACCAACUGGAUGAGCAGCGAACGGGUGAGUAACGCGUGGGGAAUCUGCCUUUGAGCGGGGGACAACAUUUGGAAACGAAUGCUAAUACCGCAUAAAAACUUUAAACACAAGUUUUAAGUUUGAAAGAUGCAAUUGCAUCACUCAAAGAUGAUCCCGCGUUGUAUUAGCUAGUUGGUGAGGUAAAGGCUCACCAAGGCGAUGAUACAUAGCCGACCUGAGAGGGUGAUCGGCCACAUUGGGACUGAGACACGGCCCAAACUCCUACGGGAGGCAGCAGUAGGGAAUCUUCGGCAAUGGACGAAAGUCUGACCGAGCAACGCCGCGUGAGUGAAGAAGGUUUACGGAUCGUAAAACUCUGUUGGUAGAGAAGAACGUUGGUGAGAGUGGAAAGCUCAUCAAGUGACGGUAACUACCCAGAAAGGGACGGCUAACUACGUG
rnacentral:rRNA from 1 species